GACCGCCCCCUUGUAAGAUAAAAAUAUAAGUAGUUUAUUUUCACCCCCCUAAAAAUUUAAGAGCCUUUACACUAACCCACCAGUUUAUCAACAGCCUAAUGCUGGACCCCCCAGUGAGGAACAGCAGGUAGGGGAGUGAUGUGGUUUUGUGUGUGGCCCACAGCCAGUCAUAUUCUGGAUGACUGUGAGUGAGGAGACACAAUAAAAUUAUGAUCACUCCAUAACUGGCUGUUUCAUCCUUAUUUUCAGAACCCUCCCGCCCCCUUCGCCUGGGCCCGGGGUCUACAUUUGGCGAUCUUGCCAGGACAGGUGCAUUUGGUAAAAGCAACAUGCCCAACUAAAUGGUGUGCGCCUGUUCUGGGACCAUGAACUGCAGAUGAAGAGAGACACGAUACUCCCUUGUUAGCCAGUUGUCCUUCCCGGGUUUGAGAUGACCACCCUUGAUGCAAUCCACACUAUAGUCCACGCCCUGCUGCAAUCUGCAACGAGAGAGGACCUGCUCCAGGUAUGUGCUUUGGCCGAAAUCGAGGGUGAGGGCAAGACCACCCAUGCCCUCCUCCGCCAAGUCCGGAGGUAUCUCUGUAGUGAUGAAGUUGAAAAGAGGGAAGAUGAAGGCUUUUCAGUUUUGCAGCGGAGCUCCCUUCGCUACACUCCGAGGCGGAACCAGUAAUGUCUGUAGAUCAGGACACACCACCUCCUGUAGACUCUCCCUCACCAACCCCUGAGCCAGACCCAGAACCUGAACCAGAAUUGUCCGUGGAUCAGGACACACUACCUCCAGUACAACCUCCCUCGACACCCCCCCCCCCCAGCCAGAAGCGCGUUACCCCACCUGGAACCGACAACCCCCUAGUGUCCUCACAUACGACCAGAUGGGAACUCCUACGCAGCAGUUUGUCGCUCCCGUUUUAGCAUCCCCAGUGGACCCUAGAUAUGUUCCAGUGCCCCAGGCAAGCUAUCCAUUCCCACCAACCCUUCCAAUGUAUCCACCAGACCUUCACCCUGGACAGUACUUGCCAGCCCCAAUCCAGUAUUACCCCCAGCAGUAUGGACAAGGAUGGAUGCCGAUGUCAAGACCACCAGUCUCCUUCAAUCCACUGAUUCAACGACAUUAGACCUGAACCAAAUUGCAGUUGAACCACUUGAUAGAGAUUUACUAUCGUUGUGCCUUUUGGAACUGCUUGCAAUUUAUUUGCAGUAAAAUGCGUUACUUUUUACGGUACAAGAGUACCAGAUGUCAGAAAAAGUGAAGGCCCGAAUUCACCUUCACACCUUUCUUUUAUCAGCUAUACCCAAUCAUUGAGGAGAUCGGUUGGAUUAUAGUUGGAGAGUUUCUCCUAGUGCGCAUGUUUUACUUCCUCAAGUUCUGUUAGGUACUCACGUUGUUGAAUGAUUUUGAAUGUUUUGUAAAGAUAGAUGGUACUUAGGUACCCCAGGCAGAGACACUAAAGGGAUGAUACGGGAGAUAGGAUAUUUUCAAAAUACUCAGGUAAUCCAUAUUACUUUCACAUAAUGUAUCCUUACCCGCUAGUUACAGUGAAGAGAGAUUUUAAGUUUUUGUUUUGUUUUGUUCUUAAUUAAAGCGUCUUUGAUAUACUUAUGGUAGGCGGAAAUUAAGUUUUGUACAGCGGACGGUUGUUGUUGUUGUUGUUUUGAUACAUUGCAAAUGUUGGGACAACAUUUAAUUUUGCGGGGUAGUAUGUAGGGACCGCCCCCUUGUAAGAUAAAAAUAUAAGUAGUUUAUUUUCACCCCCCUAAAAAUUUAAGAGCCUUUACACUAACCCACCAGUUUAUCAACAGCCUAAUGCUGGACCCCCCAGUGAGGAACAGCAGGUAGGGGAGUGAUGUGGUUUUGUGUGUGGCCCACAGCCAGUCAUAUUCUGGAUGACUGUGAGUGAGGAGACACAAUAAAAUUAUGAUCACUCCAUAACUGGCUGUUUCAUCCUUAUUUUCAGGUAUGUGGAUUUCUAUUAUACUUUAAUUAAAAGUUCACAGUACAUAGCUCAGUUUAGCAUCAUUUAAGUCAUUUUAAUCUAAUAGUAAAAGAGAUAUGUCUAUUCAAAUUUGUUCCAAGACUUUCACUUUAGGUCCAUUGUUUUAAGCCCUAUAGGUUUUGCUAAAAAGGUGGUCUAGAAAGUUCCAUUGAGUAAUAGUUUUCUAAAGUUAAUGUUUUGUUCCCUAUUGAUAUUUUGAUUAAUUGAUUUGGGUAUGUGAAACCCCAUA